CUCUCUGUCUUCCUCAGCAUCUGUCCAGCAGACACAGUGUUCAACUGAGUACUACUCAGGGCGACGGUACGCGUCAGCGUCACGGGGAGCCGGUCAGAGUUCCAGUACCACACCACCUACUGGUCAACCUGAAGAGCUUCA